rnacentral:misc_RNA from 1 species
UAGCACUAUAUGAUUCAUUUCUUCAUUGGUUUAUUUUGAAUGUUUGAGUCAAUAUGCAGCAGAAGAGAGACGAGGGGGAAUUGAGCAUAAAUAUAUGCAUCUCCGCUUAGGCUUAUUCCUUUAUUUUUUUUUUGAGCUAGCUCAUCGAUCAAUAUGGGGGUUGCUUCCCUUGGCAAUCAUGAGUCCAACUGCCAUCAUUACCAUACAGGAGAAAUCCCUCUCUCUCUCGUAGCACAUACCCACCAGCCCACCACAUGGAUAAUAACACACCUAUAUUUAUAGCAACUUUCAUAUCCCACUCUCCUCCCAAUUCUCACUUGUUCUUUUGUCCUAAUUCUUGUUGAACAACGAGUGAAACCCUGAAGAGAAUGUGUAUAAACAGAGUAGACAAGUUCCCAUCUUCUCCUUCCUACUCUGCAAAGGGAAAGCAACGAUCAAAGAAGCCUAAGAUUCAAGUUCUCGGACUCGCCAGGAGAAGUUGCCAAGAAGAGGAAGGCAGAGAUAUGGAGCUGAAGAACUUGAAGCUGUAUUUGGAGAACCAAAGUAUCGUUGAAGAGAACGAGAAGUUGAGGAAGAUAGCUAAUCUUCUGCACCAAGAAAACUUGGCUUUAAUGUCCGAAUUUCAAAAGAAAUUCCCUCAUUUGGAUCGCUUCUCCACUACCCUUUGUCCUUUUAAAUAAUGAAUACUAAUAUUUAUGAAAGAGAGAGAAGAAAAAAAAACAGAAAAGAGAGCCUUUCUUCACUCUUUAAUUUCUUUUCUGAUAUUUUCUUCUUCUCAAGUAUGUUAAUAAGAUGUAAUGGGCUUGUCUAGAAGUAGAAGUUGCUAUUAUUAUUAUCAUGGUAAAUGAUGAUGAAAUAUUGUAUGCCAACUAAACUUCAAUUAAUGAUUCUCUCUCUAUUUUUAUUUUGGAAGUUGAUGUAUCAACUGAAAGCUUUAAUGAUUCUGGUAUUUCCUUAGUAGUGAAGCCUGCGAAUGAAUGAAAA